GGGCUCUUAGCUCAGUUGGUUAGAGCGCUACCUUGACAUGGUAGAGGUCACAGGUUCGACUCCUGUAUCGCCCACCC
rnacentral:tRNA from 1 species